rnacentral:lncRNA from 1 species
GUUAAUGGCAGAAGGCGUGGCAAUUAAUGAGGUUUAAUUAAAGAAAUUAAAACGUGAAUGAAGAGAGAGAAAAUAUAUUUUAUUAUAUAAUUAAUUAAAGAAUUAAGAUUAAUAAUACUUAAUUUCAAUCAUUAAAUACAUUCUAAUCUAAAAAUUAAAAAAUUAUAUCAAAAAUUGUGUCAAAAACAUAAUAUCACAGAUCCGUCCCUGUUUUAUAUGCCUCAU